rnacentral:lncRNA from 10 species
AGAAGCCAAAAAGGCCCAAGUCCACAAGACAGAAAGAAUAGGUGAAAAGUCCAUGUCAUCUCAUUUUUGGAGAUGGACAUGGACAGGGGCUGAAACUGCAGUACCAGCAGAUGGGGAGCUUAAGAAGGAAGCUAGUUCAUGGCACAGCACCCGUAAAGUCCCCAGAAUUGGAGGCACCAGAUUCUUCUGAAAGAAAAGGAGCAAUUCAGCACUUGUCAUGCAGAUAAGAGGUCAACACCCCAGGACGGAGUGAAAACCUAAGAUGGACUCAACGACUCUCUUACCGUCCAGCUCUCAAGUCCCUUCUCUUGUGAAAAUGGAAAAGUUGAACUACAGUUGAGAUAUUAUUCCCAGGUGUUCUUUGGAACACAGGGGAUUUCUCCAAAAGGCACAGAACAAAUUGCCUCCAAACAGCCAAGAUUCCAGCAGAAGCUGGAGUAGCAGACUACUUGGAUCUUCAAAGUACCUGGCCCUGAGUCAGUUAAGGAAGAUCUUUUCUUCUCUUUUGUACAAUCCUAUGAUGAGAGCUGCAAAGUGAACUGACUAAGAGCUUCUGCCUUGAUCAUUGACCUCCCAAUCCUAAUAAUAUGUUCACUGGCCAAACUUCCUAAUCGAUUUGUCUUUUGGAUAUAACGUUCCUCCUACUGUUUGCCUGAUUGAGAAAUCUGCUACAGAACAUGACCGGUUAGCAUUCCCACCAACCCCAGUGCUACACUGACUGUCUUUCGAUGGACUUUGCUCCUUGCUGCCUCUCUGAGGUCCCAGACCUUCAGAGUGACCUUCACAGCUCUGCCUAACUUUCUGUCAUACUUCUAUCAAGAGAGACAGCUAAAUCAAUAUUUUUAAUGUGCUUUGCUGUCGGAAUUCGAUGAUCUGUCACAGUUCUUGCCCAAUACACCCCAUCAUUAUUGUUAAAAUGUUUUUAGCUUUGUUUGUAGAAUUGCUUUAACUGGUUUCAUCUCUGGGAGCUACACUUUGAAAUAUAACUUUAGCAACAUUUUACUAUACUUUUUCACAACCCAGAGCAGUACUAUUUUAUGCUUAGUGGUUAAACUAAUUCCAUAAAUCUUUUGCAACUAUCCUCUAUUCUUUUUCUUGUAAUUUUUACCUGGGAAGGUUUUUACUGAUAAUCAUCCUAUCCUGAGUCAUCCCACAAACCAAUCUGUCUCACUAAUCAUUGCUUCUAACCUACAGACUAAGCAUAACUUCUGCUAAAUGAUCUUUGAUAAGAUGCUAUGACUCUAUAAAGUCUUUGAUAUUCAUGUCUAAAUUUAAUCACUUGUAGAUUUUCAUAGAAUCAAUCUUUCACUUCUACAAUUGGGAGUAUUUAUAAGUUGUUUAUCUUAAACAGUUCCUCUAUCACGCUUUUCACGUUAAAUAAAGCAA